UGGAGCUUGCAUUCUCUUCUUCCUUUUUGCUUUCAUGGAGUUUCAAGAUGCUCUCAUAGAGACAGGACCUUAUCUGGAUCAAGCAUAUCGGUGCCCAAUCGCACAUUUACAGCUUGGGCCUCAACUCCGCUUUGGAAGCCAGCAUCGUCUCCAAGAGUAUAGUCAACUAGCAAUCUACCCCCAAGGCCACUAGCCUCAUCCUCCAGCUCCUCUGUAAGGACAAGAUCAUCGGUCUUGCCAUCCUCCUCAUCUAUAAACCUAGCACUAGCAAGACCACUAUUGCCAUGGGCCGUGCCAAGUUUUAUAGAAUAUAUAUAAAUAAUAAGUGAA
rnacentral:lncRNA from 1 species